CUGCGUGUUCAGCCAAGAGCGGCGUCUCCCGAAGCAGCCCCCGCUCUCCAACAACACGCGAGAGCAACCGGAGGGUCUUUGACUGCCGGGCCGCUUCUGCCCGUCACUGUCACUCGCCCCUCCUAUAUGU
rnacentral:snoRNA from 1 species